ACUUCAGGAAGAAAACGUGAGCACUGAUUAUAACAUUUAAAAGGUCAUCUUUCUGUUUCUUUUCUUCUUAUUUGCCUACCAGAAAUAGUUGUAAAGGCAGAAUUUCACUUUCAGUGAAAGUAAAGCAUGCUGCAACAGAAUAUAUGCAGUUGGACAUAUGCAGUAUGGCUGUAACUUCCUCCCCUCACACAGACCGUUUCCCCCUGGUAACUGAAACAGUUCUACCAUGUGUUGGGUGACAAAACACAUUAGCAUAUUCCUUAUAUAGAAACACCAUAUACUGCUGUGUUUUAAUCAUAACUGGGAAGGAAAGCUUUAACAUGAUCUCUUCAAGGUUGGAUUCAGAAGAGUGAGUAUUAAUCCUUCCUAAGAAAAAGACUGAGUUGAGAUUUGGCUUCCACAUUAAGUUCUGGUAGAGACAUAGCAGGCAGCUUGUAUUUGCUUUGGGAAUUUGGCAUGCUCCAUUCAAAUGCAUCUGGCUUGAUAAAAAUGCACAUAUCUCCUGCAUAAACAUCAAGGAAAUUUGUAUUUAAUGAAAGCAAGGCUGCAUGUGCACACACAGAAAAGAAAGAAAGGAUGAAAAAGAGUCAGGAGUGCAACUAAAAAUCAGACAGCAGGUGAACCUUGAGUCAGACCAUCAGAACCUAUGUUGGUCCCCUAACUUCAUGUAUCUACAUCUAGAUUAAUGCUGUAUGAGAAGAGCUUCCUUGCUCACUGAGGAGCUGAUGCACGACUCACGACAAGCAGAAGUCUCAUGGUUCCAUUCAUACUCUAUAUAGCAAUGACUUCAGCUCAGAGGAAGAGGACUCACAGCAGUCUGGGAGCAAUGAUGGACCAGAUAAAUACUUCAGCGCUGUCUGACCAAGAACUCUGGAACAUGGUCAAGAUAUAAAGGCAUCCCAGCUCAGGGUGUAUUUGCCCAAGAAAGCAUUCAGUUUGGAGUUUUAGGUCCCGAUCCACAGCAGCAUUCAAGACUAAUUUUAAAUGUCUGAGUAAUUUCAUUGUCUACAAUGACAGCACUGUGUAAACUGGCUUCUUAGUUUUAUGUACAACCAGGCAUCGCUACUGCACAUCAAAACAGACUGCUAUGAGAACGGAAAAUGUUUUAUUUUCAUGCAACUAAAAUACAUAAAUAUGAAACCACAGAAAUACUCCUGACUGUUCUCUG
rnacentral:lncRNA from 1 species